UUAUCGAAAUUCCAAAGGUCUCGGAAGGGGAAAGGAGGAGCGGACCGUCGCACGUCCCCUCUUUCUGGACCCCUCCGAGGCUUCGACCCUUUCGACACCUGUGUGCACUCGCUGUAGGUCCCUCGGGAUCUACGUCUCCUUUCGAACUCGCAUGUCUACAGAACGUGUAUCCAUCGUGUCCCGGCCUCGACCCUCAGGGUCCUGCGUCGGCGACCGAGAGACCCAUCGUACAACUUUCAGCAACGGAUCUCUUGGCUCUCGCAUCGAUGAAGAACGCAGCGAAUCGCGAUAAGUAAUGUGAAUUGCAGAUUUUCCGUGAAUCAUCGAAUCUUUGAACGCACCUUGCGCUCCUCGGUAUUCCGAGGAGCAUGCCUGUUUGAGUGUCAUCGAAACCUCGGACCGAGCCUUCGACCCCUCCGUCGAAGGGCCAUGGUCUGGAUCAUGGGAGUCUGUGGGCGAGCUUCGUGCUCCGUCCGCUCUCCUCAAAAGCAUUAGCCGUGGGCGAAACGAGACUUGCAUGGCAACGGCCUCUUCGACGUCGUAACGAUCGUCGUGGGGGCUGGAAGUGCAUGGCUCGACGGGUCCCAUGCUUCCCUAGUCUCGCUUGCGAGCCCGUUCGCCGGACGGGCCCGGCAUGCCUCAUCGAACCUUGACCUCAAAUCAGGUAGGACUACCCGCCGAACUUAAGCAUAUCAAUAAG
rnacentral:rRNA from 1 species